GAAGGUAUAGCUCAGUGGUAAAGUGCGUGCUUAGCUUGCAGGAGGUCCUGGGUUCAAUCCCCAGUGCCUCCA
rnacentral:tRNA from 1 species